UUCUAGCCCCUGCCUCCCCGCACCUAUCGCCACCGCCCCUCGCUAAAAUAAAACCCACACGCCUGACGGCCGACGACGCACGACCCUCCUCCCUCGAGCAGCAGCAACGGAGCGGCGCGUAGGGGCUCAACCUAUGUCGACGGGCGGCGUGGUCCCUCUCCUCCAUCGAGUAGCGGCAGCGGCACGGGACGCAGCGGGCUCGGCCUUCGUCGGUGGCGGCAGGGUCCCUUUCCUCCCUCGACCAUCGGCGGCGGCACCGAAUGCAACAGGCGGCCAGGGAGACGGCGCUGCGUGCAAGGCGCGGCAACGAAGCUGAGGGAGCCGGCCCUUGUGGCACGGGGGCGCGACGGUUCCAUGGCGGCUGUGGGGUGGAGGGCGCGUGCGUGAAGGCGGCGCAUUCCUUUGGCUUUCGGCAUGCCGCGGCAUUGACUUCCCUGCUGUCGUCGUGCUCCCUGAUGCCAGCUCCUCCUUCCUCCCGCCGCUGGACAUGCACAACACCAUCCCAUGCCCUCUGUCCGCUGGCCAGAGAAAGGCAUCAGUGAGAAAUAUGGAUGAUGCACGCGAACGGAUUGGCACUCCCAUCUCCACUGCACUGAAGGAGAUCAAGCCCAUUUCCAUCAGCAUCAACUAGAACCUCCCCUCGACCUGCAUCCUUGCCUUUCUUUUGUAUCUCCCCAAGACUGUCAAACCAGAUGAGCCUGAAAGGAACUAAGAGAAAUGACUAUUCAUUUGGCUUUGGUAUUACUAUUGUUGAUGAACUGCUCAUUUGCCAGACUGUCAAACCAGAUGAGCCUGAAAGGAACUAAGAGAAAUGACUAUUCAUUUACCAAUCUUGCCAUUCUCUGUAUUGUCAAUUUGCCAAUUCGACUGAUGCUUGAAUGUAUUAGUAGACAAAAUGACCUGUUUGUUGAUCAGCUAUGAUAUGUGUUUCCAUUGGCUACUUGCCGCUUUCUAAGGGGCAGAUUUUAGCUUGACAAGAUUUUUGCAAAAACAUAGCAGUGCUCUUGAUCUGAUGGAAACUCAGAGUAGGGUGUUCCAAACUAGAUUGAUACACGUAAGAAUUUUUGACUGAUUUUUAUGCUCAGAGCUACAUACAUGCUUGCAGCGCUUCACCUAUCCUAGAACUUUCAUUUCAAUUUUUGUGUCGCUACAAUUUGUCCAUUAAUCGAUAUUCUAGCUCCAUUAAUCGGUAUUCUAGCUGAAAGUUUCAAAGUUGUCAAUUGUUUUCGAAACACGGUUCACAGAGUGGCUGGUCCUUUUUUGGGACAUAUUUGUUGUGUCUUUUCCCCAUUUUGUCUUGUAUUUUUUCAUACACAGUUCAAUUAGCUAAUUGUUAUUAUGCCAUAGGUAAAUUGUGCAACCUAUUGCCGCUCUGCCAUGGGUCACAUGGUCGUCCUUCAUACACCGCUUUACUAGGACUAACGCUGAAGUACAGAUGAUGGUGUAUGUAAGUUUUCACUAUUUCCUCAGUUUUUGUUUUUCCACAGUUUUCUAACUGGGGUCCUCACACAUUUUUUGUGUGUGUACAUUACGGGCCACCUAGAAAAUUCCAAAAGAAGUUGCCUCUUGUUUGGACACCCCAAAGCACGGGCUGGCAAGACUAAGAUUGGGCAAAGAGAGCUUCAGGAGGACCGUUUAUGACACCUCACUCGACGGUUUAUUCUUCAAGCAAGGAUGGAAGAAGUUCCUCACGAGACAUGACAUGAGAUUAGCACUGCUAUACUAAUUACAUUUAAGACUGUUGCCAACAAUGAGUUGGAGAUUAUAGUCAUCCUUUUAUGUCCUUUGAGAAGAUCAUGUUGGACAAGUUCCAGGCUUUCAUGAGUUAUUUAGUCAUUUCUCAGCGUUUUUUAAACCAUGGAGGAGAACUGCAUGUGAACUUCAUAGAUACGAGAAGAAAAGAAUAAAGGCAUGUAAAAAGUUCAAUUCAUUUUCUGUUUAUUUUGUUUCCUCUUUCUCUACGUACUGGUUUUUGAACUGUGGUUUGUGAAUCGGAUGUAUAUAUUCAUGUUUUA